ACGCUAGCUACAGGCUUAACACAUGCAAGUCGAGGGGCAGCAUGGUCUUAGCUUGCUAAGGCCGAUGGCGACCGGCGCACGGGUGAGUAACACGUAUCCAACCUGCCGUCUACUCUUGGACAGCCUUCUGAAAGGAAGAUUAAUACAAGAUGGCAUCAUGAGUCCGCAUGUUCACAUGAUUAAAGGUAUUCCGGUAGACGAUGGGGAUGCGUUCCAUUAGAUAGUAGGCGGGGUAACGGCCCACCUAGUCUUCGAUGGAUAGGGGUUCUGAGAGGAAGGUCCCCCACAUUGGAACUGAGACACGGUCCAAACUCCUACGGGAGGCAGCAGUGAGGAAUAUUGGUCAAUGGGCGAGAGCCUGAACCAGCCAAGUAGCGUGAAGGAUGACUGCCCUAUGGGUUGUAAACUUCUUUUAUAAAGGAAUAAAGUCGGGUAUGCAUACCCGUUUGCAUGUACUUUAUGAAUAAGGAUCGGCUAACUCCGUGCCAGCAGCCGCGGUAAUACGGAGGAUCCGAGCGUUAUCCGGAUUUAUUGGGUUUAAAGGGAGCGUAGAUGGAUGUUUAAGUCAGUUGUGAAAGUUUGCGGCUCAACCGUAAAAUUGCAGUUGAUACUGGAUAUCUUGAGUGCAGUUGAGGCAGGCGGAAUUCGUGGUGUAGCGGUGAAAUGCUUAGAUAUCACGAAGAACUCCGAUUGCGAAGGCAGCCUGCUAAGCUGCAACUGACAUUGAGGCUCGAAAGUGUGGGUAUCAAACAGGAUUAGAUACCCUGGUAGUCCACACGGUAAACGAUGAAUACUCGCUGUUUGCGAUAUACAGCAAGCGGCCAAGCGAAAGCGUUAAGUAUUCCACCUGGGGAGUACGCCGGCAACGGUGAAACUCAAAGGAAUUGACGGGGGCCCGCACAAGCGGAGGAACAUGUGGUUUAAUUCGAUGAUACGCGAGGAACCUUACCCGGGCUUAAAUUGCAGAUGAAUUACGGUGAAAGCCGUAAGCCGCAAGGCAUCUGUGAAGGUGCUGCAUGGUUGUCGUCAGCUCGUGCCGUGAGGUGUCGGCUUAAGUGCCAUAACGAGCGCAACCCUUGUUGUCAGUUACUAACAGGUUCCGCUGAGGACUCUGACAAGACUGCCAUCGUAAGAUGUGAGGAAGGUGGGGAUGACGUCAAAUCAGCACGGCCCUUACGUCCGGGGCUACACACGUGUUACAAUGGGGGGGUACAGAGGGCCGCUACCACGCGAGUGGAUGCCAAUCCCAAAAACCUCUCUCAGUUCGGACUGGAGUCUGCAACCCGACUCCACGAAGCUGGAUUCGCUAGUAAUCGCGCAUCAGCCACGGCGCGGUGAAUACGUUCCCGGGCCUUGUACACACCGCCCGUCAAGCCAUGGGAGCCGGGGGUACCUGAAGUGCGUAACCGCGAGGAGCGCCCUAGGGUAAAACUGGUGACUGGGG
rnacentral:rRNA from 1 species